GAUGAACGCUGGCGGCGUGCUUAACACAUGCAAGUCGAACGAUGAAGCCCAGCUUGCUGGGUGGAUUAGUGGCGAACGGGUGAGUAACACGUGAGUAACCUGCCCUUGACUCUGGGAUAAGCCUGGGAAACUGGGUCUAAUACUGGAUAUGACUUCUCAUCGCAUGGUGGGGGGUGGAAAGAUUUAUUGGUCUUGGAUGGACUCGCGGCCUAUCAGCUUGUUGGGGAGGUAAUGGCUCACCAAGGCGACGGCGGGUAGCCGGCCUGAGAGGGUGACCGGCCACACUGGGACUGAGACACGGCCCAGACUCCUACGGGAGGCAGCAGUGGGGAAUAUUGCACAAUGGGCGCAAGCCUGAUGCAGCGACGCCGCGUGAGGGAUGACGGCCUUCGGGUUGUAAACCUCUUUCAGUAGGGAAGAAGCGAGAGUGACGGUACCUGCAGAAGAAGCGCCGGCUAACUACGUG
rnacentral:rRNA from 1 species